rnacentral:rRNA from 1 species
GACGAACGCUGGCGGCGUGCUUAACACAUGCAAGUCGAACGGAAAGGCCUGCUUUCCCUUGUGGAUUGCGGGUACUCGAGUGGCGAACGGGUGAGUAACACGUGAGUGAUCUGCCCCCAACUUGGGUAUAAGCCUGGGAAACUGGGUCUAAUUCCCGAUAGGACUGCAGGGUGGUGCCAGUGGUGGAAAACGAUUUUCUAGUGGUUGGGGAUGAGCUCGCGGCCUAUCAGCUUGUUGGUGGGGUAAUGGCCUACCAAGGCGGCGACGGGUAGCCGGCCUGAGAGGGUGGACGGCCACAUUGGGACUGAGAUACGGCCCAGACUCCUACGGGAGGCAGCAGUGGGGAAUAUUGCACAAUGGGCGGAAGCCUGAUGCAGCGACGCCGCGUGGGGGAUGACGGCCUUCGGGUUGUAAACUCCUUUCGACCGCGAGGAAGCCACCUGGUUGGAAGGGUGGUGACGGUAGUGGUAGAAGAAGCACCGGCUAACUACGUG